AGAGUUUGAUCAUGGCUCAGAUUGAACGCUGGCGGCAGGCCUAACACAUGCAAGUCGAGCGGUAGCACAGAGAGCUUGCUCUCGGGUGACGAGCGGCGGACGGGUGAGUAAUGUCUGGGAAACUGCCUGAUGGAGGGGGAUAACUACUGGAAACGGUAGCUAAUACCGCAUAACGUCGCAAGACCAAAGUGGGGGACCUUCGGGCCUCAUGCCAUCAGAUGUGCCCAGAUGGGAUUAGCUAGUAGGUGGGGUAACGGCUCACCUAGGCGACGAUCCCUAGCUGGUCUGAGAGGAUGACCAGCCACACUGGAACUGAGACACGGUCCAGACUCCUACGGGAGGCAGCAGUGGGGAAUAUUGCACAAUGGGCGCAAGCCUGAUGCAGCCAUGCCGCGUGUGUGAAGAAGGCCUUCGGGUUGUAAAGCACUUUCAGCGGGGAGGAAGGCGNNNNNNNNNNNNNNNNNNNNNNNNUCGAUUGACGUUACCCGCAGAAGAAGCACCGGCUAACUCCGUGCCAGCAGCCGCGGUAAUACGGAGGGUGCAAGCGUUAAUCGGAAUUACUGGGCGUAAAGCGCACGCAGGCGGUCUGUCAAGUCGGAUGUGAAAUCCCCGGGCUCAACCUGGGAACUGCAUUCGAAACUGGCAGGCUAGAGUCUUGUAGAGGGGGGUAGAAUUCCAGGUGUAGCGGUGAAAUGCGUAGAGAUCUGGAGGAAUACCGGUGGCGAAGGCGGCCCCCUGGACAAAGACUGACGCUCAGGUGCGAAAGCGUGGGGAGCAAACAGGAUUAGAUACCCUGGUAGUCCACGCCGUAAACGAUGUCGAUUUGGAGGUUGUGCCCUUGAGGCGUGGCUUCCGGAGCUAACGCGUUAAAUCGACCGCCUGGGGAGUACGGCCGCAAGGUUAAAACUCAAAUGAAUUGACGGGGGCCCGCACAAGCGGUGGAGCAUGUGGUUUAAUUCGAUGCAACGCGAAGAACCUUACCUGGUCUUGACAUCCACAGAACUUAGCAGAGAUGCUUUGGUGCCUUCGGGAACUGUGAGACAGGUGCUGCAUGGCUGUCGUCAGCUCGUGUUGUGAAAUGUUGGGUUAAGUCCCGCAACGAGCGCAACCCUUAUCCUUUGUUGCCAGCGGUUAGGCCGGGAACUCAAAGGAGACUGCCAGUGAUAAACUGGAGGAAGGUGGGGAUGACGUCAAGUCAUCAUGGCCCUUACGACCAGGGCUACACACGUGCUACAAUGGCAUAUACAAAGAGAAGCGACCUCGCGAGAGCAAGCGGACCUCAUAAAGUAUGUCGUAGUCCGGAUUGGAGUCUGCAACUCGACUCCAUGAAGUCGGAAUCGCUAGUAAUCGUAGAUCAGAAUGCUACGGUGAAUACGUUCCCGGGCCUUGUACACACCGCCCGUCACACCAUGGGAGUGGGUUGCAAAAGAAGUAGGUAGCUUAACCUUCGGGAGGGCGCUUACCACUUUGUGAUUCAUGACUGGGGUGAAGUCGUAACAAGGUAACCGUAGGGGAACCUGCGGUUGGAUCACCU
rnacentral:rRNA from 2 species